GAUGAGCGCUGGCGGCGUGCCUAAUACAUGCAAGUCGAGCGGUAACAGGUCUAGUUUACUAGAUGCUGACGAGCGGCGGACGGCUGAGUAACACGUACGAAUCUGCCCUCCGGUGGGGAAUAACGCAGCGAAAGCUGUGCUAAUACCGCGUACGCGCGCAAGCGGAAAGCCGCAAGGCGCCGGGGGAGAGCGUGCGGCCAUCAGAUCGUUGGCGGGUAACGCCCACCAAGUCGAUGACGGGUCGCUGGUCUGUGAGGACGAUCAGCCAGACUGGGACUGCGACACGGCCCAGACACC
rnacentral:rRNA from 1 species